rnacentral:misc_RNA from 1 species
UGGCUCUCGCAUCGAUGAAGAACGCAGCGAAAUGCGAUAAGUAAUGUGAAUUGCAGAAUUCAGUGAAUCAUCGAAUCUUUGAACGCACCUUGCACCUCUUGGUAUUCCGAGAGGUACACCUGUUUGAGUGUCGUGAAUUUAUCCAUUCUAUUCAAUUUACUAUACUCUUGUUCUUUGAAUUAGAAAAUGGGACUUGGGGAUUUUACUUGUAGGAUAUAUAAUAUAUAUAUUCUACUUCCCUUAAAUAUAUUAGUAAAAGAAAUGUUCAUUUACUUUUAUUAGUGUGAUAAAUAUCUUUACACUUGUAAUAAGUUUAAUAAUAAUGAAUGAUUUACUUCAAACAAACACAUACAUUUGUGAAUGUGUGGUUUUAUACUUGAACUUGACCUCAAAUCAGGUGGGAUUACCCGCUGA